UACAGAGGUGGCAAGCGUUGUUCGGAAUUACUGGGCGUAAAGGGCGCGUAGGCGGCUUGGUCAGUCCCGUGUGAAAUCCCUCGGCUCAACUGAGGAACUGCACGGGAAACUGCCUGGCUUGAGUUCGGGAGAGGGAAGCGGAAUUCCGGGUGUAGCGGUGAAAUGCGUAGAUAUCGGAAGGAACGCCGGUGGCGAAAGCGACGGACUGGAUCUCUUCUGACGCUGAGGCGCGAAAGCCAGGGGAGCAAACGGG
rnacentral:rRNA from 1 species